rnacentral:rRNA from 1 species
AACGAACGCUGGCGGCAUGCCUAACACAUGCAAGUCGAACGAGACCUUCGGGUCUAGUGGCGCACGGGUGCGUAACGCGUGGGAACCUGCCCUUAGGUUCGGAAUAACUCCCCGAAAGGGGUGCUAAUACCGGAUAAUGUCUUCGGACCAAAGAUUUAUCGCCUUUGGAUGGGCCCGCGUUGGAUUAGCUAGUUGGUAGGGUAAAAGCCUACCAAGGCGACGAUCCAUAGCUGGUCUGAGAGGAUGAUCAGCCACACUGGGACUGAGACACGGCCCAGACUCCGACGGGAGGCAGCAGUAGGGAAUAUUGGACGAUGGGCGAAAGCCUGAUCCAGCAAUGCCGCGUGAGUGAUGAAGGCCUUAGGGUUGUAAAGCUCUUUUACCCGGGAUGAGAAUGACAGUACCGGGAGAAUAAGCUCCGGCUAACUCCGUG